UUAAGAGUACUGGCUCCUCUUCCAGAGGACCUAGAUUUGGAACACCAGCAUGGUGGCCUGCAAUAGAAGUAUUGUGAGUUGGUGCUGAGACGACAGCAAAUCACAGGAGGAGGUGACAAUGCAGCAGGAUCCUAAGCCUAGCUCCUCUGAGCAAGAGGUCCUCAUCGGUCCUUACAGGAUCCUCAAGACCCUUGGCACAGGCAACUUUGCUCAGGUCAAACUGGCUGUGCACCUCCACACAAAGAUGCAGGUUGCUCUGAAGACCCUGGAAAAGGACAAAAAGAACGCUACUCUGAUUUCCACAGAGCUAGAAAUAAUGAAAUUAGUAGACCACCCUAAUAUAACCAAAUUGUUCCAUGUCAUGGAAACCAGUGAGCAUGUCUGCAUGGUUAUGGAAUACGCUCCUGGUGGUGAUCUGGCUGGUCGCAUCAUAGAGGUGAGCUACAUUCAGGAAGAGGAGGCCCGACACAUCUUCACACAGAUAGUUUGUGCAGUUAAUUACUGCCACAAGAAUGGCAUUGCACACAGGGACAUCAAGCCAGAAAACAUUCUGAUGGAUGCUAGAAGAAACAUCAAACUGUGUGACUUUGGCCUGGCCAUCAAGGUUAACACUGAGCAGAAGUCAACAGUGUUCUGUGGCACCCUUCCAUACUGUGCACCAGAACUUUUCAGCAUCCAAAGCUAUGAUCCCAGGGCCCUUGAUAUCUGGAGCAUGGGGGUGGUACUAUACAUCAUGGUGACGAAGCAUUACCCGUUCAAAGCAACGACAUAUGACAAGAUGAGGGAGGAGAUGCGGGACCCACACUACUAUAUCCCGCCAAAGCUCCCAGCACACAUUGCCAACCUCAUCAUGCAGUUGUUCACUAUUGAUCCUUUGCAGAGGCCCAAGAUAGGUGACGUUGCGAAACAUCAGUGGCUGCAGGGCAGCGAGGAGCUUUCAAAAAUCACCCUACCCCAAGAGACACUCAGCAGCAAGCCCAGCCCCAGUAUUAUGGCAAUUAUGGGGGCCAUGGGCUACAACCCCAAGGACAUUACAGACUCUUUAUAUAAAAAAAAAUUUAAUAGCAUCAUGGCAACUUACUUAAUUUUAAAACACCAGUCACCCUACAGGGACAGCGCUAACCGCAAGUUUAAACUCAUUCAGCCUCGUAGUGCCACGAUACCCACAGAUCCUCCCACUGUCCAUGUCUUCCUAAAGAACAUCGGGACUGAGCCUGACAAUUCCACCUCUGCUCCAACAGCAAAAGACAAGCCCUACAACAACGCCAAGCUUGUAAGAAAGGACAGCAAGAAUCCCAGGAUAACUGAUGCUAUGGGCCGCCAGAAGACUCGUGUCCCUCCUGAAACAGCUGCCCAGUGUGGGCCUGUGCAGCGUCACCAGGAGCCUCUCUUGAAAAGCAGCUUGCUGAAGAGAAACGUGGCUUCCAGUGCUGUAUCCUCUUUUCCUGUGCAGUAUGACCGUGAUCAGUUCUUGAACAGUAGCUUGCAGAAGAGAGGGGUGGUUUCUAAGGCCGUGUCCUGUGGUCCUGUGCAGUAUGUGCAGAGGAGAAACAUGAUGUCCAAGGCUGUGUCCUGUGGUCCUGUGGAGUAUGAAGAUGAGCAUCCCCCGAGCCACAGCUCACAGAAAAGAGGGGUGGUUUCUAAGGCCGUGUCCUGUGGUCCUGUCGAGUAUGAAGAUGAGCAUCCCCUGAGCCACAGCUUGCAGAAGAGAGGGGUGGUUUCUAAGGCUGUGUCCUGUGGUUCCAUGCAGCAUGACCUCGAGCAGCUCCCGAGCUUUCAAAAAACAAAUAUGGUUUCCAAGGCUGUGUCCUGUGGUCCUGUGCAGCUCUCCAACAGCACCUUGCAGAAGGGAGGCCUGGUUUCCAAGGCCGUGUCCUGUGGUUCCAUGCAGCAUGACCUCGAGCAGCUCCCGAGCUUUCAAAAAACAAAUAUGGUUUCCAAGGCUGUGUCCUGUGGUCCUGUGCAGCUCUCCAACAGCACCUUGCAGAUGGGAGGCCUGGUUUCCAAGGCCGUGUCCUGUGGUUCCAUGCAGCAUGACCUCGAGCAGCUCCCAAGCUUUCAAAAAACAAAUAUGGUUUCCAAGGCCGUGUCCUGUGGUCCUGUGCAGCUCUCCAACAGCACCUUGCAGAAUGGAGGCCUGGUUUCUAAGGCCGUGUCCUGUGAGUCCAUGCAGCAUGACCAUGAGCACCUCCUAAGCGGCUCCAUGGAAAAGAGAAACACAGUGGCUUCCAGGGGUACGUCUCCAGACACAGCUCCCUCCAUGGACGUUCUUUCUGAGUACCACAUUUUCCAGAUGGAUCCCCAGGGUGAAUCCCUGACUAAGUGCAGCUCAUACAUCCACAGUAUAGCCUCUGUAUGGAGCUCUGAGGAGAAGCCUCAGGAUAUGGCCACCACAGACUGUCAUCACAAGGACAGAAGCUUGUCCUUGCAGGAAACAUCUGAACCAAGCUUUGCUGCUGCCCAGACCCAGUGUGUAACCACAGCCUCUCCUCAGAACUCAUCAGGCAGAUGGAAGCGGGCAAAGAGAAGGAUGGUGAAGUGUUUAAGGAGAUUAUGCUGCUGUCUGCCAGACCAAAGGAGAAGCUGCACUUCCCAGAGGAGAGUGCUUCCACAGGAGGUGGGAGAAAGUGGAGUCACACAAAACCAGGCUCUUUUGCAGUAGAUUUUGGGAGCCCCUCCAGCCAGUGCAUGGUGUCCGUGUACUUUUGACCAGCUUCAGGCAGGAUCUCUGUGAGUGCUUUAGUCUCUGGUGACUGCAGGUAUCUGGAGACCAGCAGGUAGGUUACCAGGGUAACCCUCUUGGUUCAUUUUUAUAGAGGUGCGUUUUGGGAGAUAAGAGAGCAUGAUGGAGUAGGAAUUUGGUUCAACUUCACCCCAGCCAUGCCUGGGAGAGCAGAGUUCAGGGGAACUGCACUGGCCUAAGAUAAACCAGGACAACUGUCCUAAAGACCUAUGAGAGGGAACUUUGCAAGAACAUCUGGGAGAGCCAUGUGGGAGAACAUUUUGAAUCACCAAUACCCCAGUUACUUUGUAAACCCAGUGCCUCAUUCCUGAGUGUAUGGUGUACGGGGCCUUUGGAAAGGUGACAGGAAAGGAGAGUAAUUAGCCAGGUCAUCUAAGACCAAGGGCAGCAUAGCCCCAGGCUGUAUGGAGCUAGUUAGCUUGCAUAGCAAAUGCCUCAUUCUGGAAGAAGAGGCCUGCAUGCGAUUGAUUUGGCCUCUGCAUGGACACCGACAGGCUCUUCAACAAGACAUUGAAUGUCUCAUUGGGGUGCAGGAGCAGACACAGGAAGGCUCUCCUCAUCCCCAACUGUGGAUUCUCUCCAUUCCCUCUGUGCUCUCAAACUGUGAAACCGAGCCAUGAAGCUCAGUCUGAGGUGAGAUGGAGGCCAUGACCAGCUUCCAGCUCUGGAGAACUGCUAAGGGCAGGCAUGUGAAGCAAGGUCCUGGGGUGGGCUGGUCCAGUUCCAAAGAGGUUGCUGAUCUCAGGACAGAACCAUAGUUCUGAGGACAUCUGAAUUCUCUUGGGAUCUGCAGGAAUCCAGUUCAGUUGAGGUGUUCCAGAAAGCGUCUCUCCUUCAGGUUCUUCCUGCCUCUGCCCAGGACGCCAUAGAAGAUUCGCCUGACAAGCUGGCCAGGGAUAUGACUGGUGUGUAGUACAUCGGAGAUCUUGGACCAGAUGCAGAGACCCUGAAGCUGAGACUGGAGGUUGUGAUGAAGGCAAGUCUCAUGGCCAGCCCAGUGAGGAGGGCAUUCUUCAAAGUGACUACAAAGUCUUCCUGUCCUUGAGCUGUGGCGCACUGGAGGAGGUGAAACCUGCAUGCCACGUUCUCACACGUAAACAACUGGUCCUGGAGAAAAGGAACAAACUUGUAUGACAUCACCUCUGAGGUAGAACUCAUUAAAUCAUUGGAAGAUCAUCAAACUCUUAUACACGGUUGAUACACCAUUAACCACUUACAUGAUAAUUGGGUGUGUGGUGAGGAGAAGAACUGGAGAGGUGCCCAAUGGAGGAUGGAGCAUUAUGGCUUUUCCAGCAGGCUACGUCAGUUGUUCACUUCCUCCUCCGGAGGCACAGGCUACCAGAAUAUCCAAUUGGAAAACAUCUAGUGGAUGCAGCAGGAAAUUCAAAGCUUUGUGACUUUGGUAUGGCAACUAAACUCACAAAGGGACAGGUGAUGGGGAAGCUCUGUGGCUCCCUGAUCUACCUGACCCCAGAUACCUUGACAGGUAGACUGUGUAAUGGCCUUACAGUUGACACAGAAUUUGGAUAUCCUUCUCAGUGUCAUGUUCACAGAUCUCUUUCCAUACUUAGAAACAAUUCUUUCAGGCAUGCACCCGCUCAUCACCACCACAAUGUGUCAUCUUUCUUGUUACUUGUCCAAAACCCACCAGGUUAUUAUUGCAAGCUUGGUCCUGGUCCUCCCUUCCCCGUGAUAGUGGGUCAUCUAGUGGAACACACAUGGCUGUACCACAUCCAAGAACAUGCACCACUUGUCUCUAAAGAAAUAAUAUUGAUGACCAUGAAGAACAUGUGUAUGAUUAGACACGGGUAAACUAUGUAAAACACAGGUUACAAAAUGAAAGUCACAGCUAAAUUCAAUGUUUUGAAACAUCAGUUGGGCUGUGGGGAUAGCUGUCUCCCAACUGUAAGGCCCCAUUUAAAUCCCAGUGCUGCAGGGUUUCUUGCCUAACACCCAGUGCUGCCCAGAGAAGAUGCGCUGUCUAGGUACCACAGACACGGAAAGCAAAACUGUGAAUGUUUGGAGGACAUUGAAGUUGGUGUGACUCUGGGUGACACUCCACUUGAUGAGGAGGCCCCAACAGAGUCAGCCUAGGACGCAACAACCACAGGGCUAAAUGAAGAGAACAAGAGCUUGUGCCCUGUGGAGCCCCCAACAGAGUCAGCCUAGGACGCAACAACCACAGGGCUAAAUGAAGAGAACAAGAGCUUGUGCCCUGUGGAGCCCCCAACAGGGUGAGUCUCACCCAGUGUCCCAGCCCCAGGUUGAACCUAUAGACUCUGGCUCCAAGAUGGCUCUGGCUGGAAGGGACCAAGGAGGUGAAUUACUUGAGUAUUUAGAACACUUUGCUGCUGCCUGCCCACCCAAAGGUGAGUCAUGAAUACUUGUGGUAAGGAGCUGCAAAGAAAGGAGACAGGAAUGGGGUCCUGUAGUUUAGGGCAUCAAAAUGCAUGUCUACAUUUUAUUUUAAUGCUUUUUGGAUGACCCUUGUAAGUGGCAAAUUACAAAUUUAUGGUGUACAAGACUUAAGGUGUCAAUGUCUUUAGAAGGAACAAGCUUACAAUCUCCCUCUCAUGUAGAUUCUUGGGUUGUUGAGCCAGAUGUAGUUAGCAGAGUGUAGCAACCAGAGGAUGGGAAGGGAGAGAGGAGAGUUUUGCAAAGGGGGCAAAGGUUCAGUAGUUGGGGGAUCAAGUGGAGGGCUAAGGUACAGCAGGGUACUUAGUGCCAAGUCCUGCCUAUGUUAACAUGACUAACGGAAGACUUUCCAUGGAUCUUUUUUCAAGUGGUGAAAUAGACAAGGCCUGGUGCAGAUGGACAGCCACUGAAGAGAGCCAGGCCAGAAUGUGAAUGUCAGGGUGCUGUUUGCCCACACACCCAGGGCACAGGCUCCACAGCCAUCCUUCAUCAGGUCUUUGCUGCCAACUCCCUGCUUGCUCAGCCCAGCACUGCAGGCUGCACCAAUAGGUGGUCUCACGUGACAUCUACCUGAUGAAGGCCUACCUCUCCAGCUCCUGUGGAACAGAUACCCCUGGAAGCCAGACUGUCUGGCAUACAGCCUCCUUCCUUCCAGCCUCUGUGGUGAUGUCCCUUCCUAUCCCACAGAAACAAUCCCUCAACACUUACUUGACUGCACUUGAGAUCGCUUUGGUUCCUGCAACAGGGGAAAUCACACAGCUCUGAAGACAUUUUCUAUGAUGGCUCAUUGGUGCUCAUCUUGUGGCCAUCCAAAGAGAAAAGCAGGGACGAAGCCCAGCCCGUGGCAGCAAGUUUCACGAUGGAACCCACAUUGUUAGGUCACACACAGAGGUGUGCAUGUGGCACUAACUAACCUGAACAUUGUCCACACAUGGCUUUGGUUUUCUACUGAAGAGCAGAGUACGGUGAGGAAGGGGUCCUUGAACCUAGCACCUUUACCAGUUGCUUGUCUAUAUCCUGCACACUCGGCAGCUGGGAGCCAAUGUGUUUCCUAGCUGCCUCCAGGUUUCAGGAUGUUCAGAUCCACAGUUCCACUGCAGCCCACAGAAUUCCUGCUUAUGAUGGAGGAAACGCCAGGGGCCUUAUCAGAGAAAUGGAGGAGCUUCUUCUUGAGGGAUGAACAAGUUAGGUCAGGGAACUGGGUCAUUCCUGAUCCAGGUCUUUGGCCCUAGCCGUGAUGUCCUCUGUGGCCCCAGGCUGGGCUUAGGAGUUCAGUGUCAGCUCCAGAGACCCACCAGCCUUCCUCCCGGGUCUCAGUUCUGCUGGCUGUAUUUGAUGGGUUCAGCAUUGAAACUUUCUUCGCUCUGUAUCACCUGGACAAGCAUAAAGGAGGUGGGAAGUGGGAGGACAGAGGCUCUAGUGUGACAUGUUGGUAGGGAGCCUUUUCUGACCACCUGAUCCCAAAGCCUGCUGCCAGGAAAAAGAGCUGGUCCAGCCAGGCUGCUUGGUGUCUCUUCCCAGGGGAGGUUACAAAGGAAGGAGACGGGCUUUGUGCUUGUCUCUCUUUAGUCUCUGACCACCAGUGGGAAUGAACAUGCUCUUCUCUGGCUGCAGCCUUCAUCCCAGGGAAUGUGAGACUUUGUGUCUGGUUAUCCAUUUGUCUGGAAUGGUCUUCCUUUCUUACAGCUGCUUGGCCAGACCUUGCUACCUGUAGCUAAAAUUGCCUCUACCUAGCAGCAGCAGCAGCAGCAGCAGCAGCAGCAGCAGCAGCAGCAGCAGCAGCAGCAGCAGCAGCACACUCCCCACC
rnacentral:sRNA from 1 species